rnacentral:rRNA from 1 species
CCUACGGGAGGCAGCAGUGAGGAAUAUUGGUCAAUGGACGAGAGUCUGAACCAGCCAAGUAGCGUGAAGGAUGACUGCCCUAUGGGUUGUAAACUUCUUUUAUAUGGGAAUAAAACGUUCCACGUGUGGGAUUUUGUAUGUACCAUAUGAAUAAGGAUCGGCUAACUCCGUGCCAGCAGCCGCGGUAAUACGGAGGAUCCGAGCGUUAUCCGGAUUUAUUGGGUUUAAAGGGAGCGUAGGAGGAUUGUUAAGUCAGUUGUGAAAGUUUGCGGCUCAACCGUAAAAUUGCAGUUGAAACUGGCAGUCUUGAGUACAGUAGAGGUGGGCGGAAUUCGUGGUGUAGCGGUGAAAUGCUUAGAUAUCACGAAGAACUCCGAUUGCGAAGGCAGUUCACUGGACUGCAACUGACACUGAGGCUCGAAAGUGUGGGUAUCAAACAGGAUUAGAUACCCCGGUAGUC